rnacentral:tRNA from 1 species
ACUUUUUUAGUAUAAAAAAUAUAUUUGACUUCCAAUCAAAAGAUCUUAUCAAGAAAAAGUA